UACGAAGGGGGCUAGCGUUGUUCGGAUUUACUGGGCGUAAAGCGCACGUAGGCGGAUCGUUAAGUCGGGGGUGAAAUCCUGGAGCUCAACUCCAGAACUGCCUUCGAUACUGGCGAUCUUGAGUCCGGAAGAGGUGAGUGGAACUCCUAGUGUAGAGGUGGAAUUCGUAGAUAUUAGGAAGAACACCAGUGGCGAAGGCGGCUCACUGGUCCGGUACUGACGCUGGAGGGUGCGAAAGCGUGGGGAGCAAACAGG
rnacentral:rRNA from 1 species